ACAUCCCUACGGGGGGCAGCAGUGGGGAAUAUUGGGCAAUGGGGGGAACCCUGACCCAGCGACGCCGCGUGAGGGAAGAAGGUUUUCGGAUUGUAAACCUCUGUCCUUGGUGACGAUAAUGACGGUAGCCAAGGAGGAAGCAACGGCUAACUACGUGCCAGCAGCCGCGGUAAUACGUAGGUGGCGAGCGGUGUCCGGAAUUACUGGGUGUAAAGGGAGCGUAGGCGGGAGAGCAAGACGACUGUGAAAUCUAUGGGCUUAACCCAUAGCUGAGAUCGAAACUGUUCAUC
rnacentral:rRNA from 1 species